CCUGGCUCAGGAUGAACGCUGGCGGCGCGCCUAACACAUGCAAGUCGAACGAGCGAGAGAGAGCUUGCUUUCUCGAGCGAGUGGCGAACGGGUGAGUAACGCGUGAGGAACCUGCCUCAAAGAGGGGGACAACAGUUGGAAACGACUGCUAAUACCGCAUAAGCCCACGGCUCGGCAUCGAGCAGAGGGAAAAGGAGCAAUCCGCUUUGAGAUGGCCUCGCGUCCGAUUAGCUAGUUGGUGAGGUAACGGCCCACCAAGGCGACGAUCGGUAGCCGGACUGAGAGGUUGAACGGCCACAUUGGGACUGAGACACGGCCCAGACUCCUACGGGAGGCAGCAGUGGGGAAUAUUGCACAAUGGGGGAAACCCUGAUGCAGCGACGCCGCGUGGAGGAAGAAGGUCUUCGGAUUGUAAACUCCUGUUGUUGAGGAAGAUAAUGACGGUACUCAACAAGGAAGUGACGGCUAACUACGUGCCAGCAGCCGCGGUAAAACGUAGGUCACAAGCGUUGUCCGGAAUUACUGGGUGUAAAGGGAGCGCAGGCGGGAAGACAAGUUGGAAGUGAAAUCCAUGGGCUCAACCCAUGAACUGCUUUCAAAACUGUUUUUCUUGAGUAGUGCAGAGGUAGGCGGAAUUCCCGGUGUAGCGGUGGAAUGCGUAGAUAUCGGGAGGAACACCAGUGGCGAAGGCGGCCUACUGGGCACCAACUGACGCUGAGGCUCGAAAGUGUGGGUAGCAAACAGGAUUAGAUACCCUGGUAGUCCACACUGUAAACGAUGAUUACUAGGUGUUGGAGGAUUGACCCCUUCAGUGCCGCAGUUAACACAAUAAGUAAUCCACCUGGGGAGUACGACCGCAAGGUUGAAACUCAAAGGAAUUGACGGGGGCCCGCACAAGCAGUGGAGUAUGUGGUUUAAUUCGACGCAACGCGAAGAACCUUACCAAGUCUUGACAUCCCUUGACGAUGCUGGAAACAGUAUUUCUCUUCGGAGCAAGGAGACAGGUGGUGCAUGGUUGUCGUCAGCUCGUGUCGUGAGAUGUUGGGUUAAGUCCCGCAACGAGCGCAACCCUUAUGGUCAGUUACUACGCAAGAGGACUCUGGCCAGACUGCCGUUGACAAAACGGAGGAAGGUGGGGAUGACGUCAAAUCAUCAUGCCCUUUAUGACUUGGGCUACACACGUACUACAAUGGCGUUAAACAAAGAGAAGCAAGACCGCGAGGUGGAGCAAAACUCAGAAACAACGUCCCAGUUCGGACUGCAGGCUGCAACUCGCCUGCACGAAGUCGGAAUUGCUAGUAAUCGCAGAUCAGCAUGCUGCGGUGAAUACGUUCCCGGGCCUUGCACACACCGC
rnacentral:rRNA from 1 species